rnacentral:lncRNA from 1 species
GGGCUGGUGCUCUCGUUCAGAUAGAUUUAGCUGGUGGUGCAGAGAUCCGUGAGCUUGCUUUUACAGGACUUUAAUGAUAUAUAAAAGCAGCACGAGGUGCUCCUGACUGUGGAUUAAUUUGGAGAUGACUUUCUCUGUUGAAGAGUAGCAAGACUCUCGCGAGUUCUUAAAAAUGCACUUGUUUGGUAUGAGAAUGAAAAGCAGUGGCUGAAGAACCAAUCUUCAAUGGGCAAGCCUUCUCUGUGUCUGUUCUAACACGUGCCAUUUGGGAUCCCUUGGAAUCUUCAUGUACAGAACUGGUUGCUGCCUCGUUGAGUCGGUGGGGACAGAAUAGCUCCUGGUUGACAGCAUGGGUUGUGCAGAAGGACGGAUCCUGCAGACAUCAAUAUCUGGCUUUGAGUGGCACAAAGAAAUAAAGGAAUGUGGAUUCAGACCUCACUGGGAUGCUUGGCAAUUCUAAUUCUACCCCAGACUGCAAAUGGACACACAACUGUUGUGACUUUUGUUGAAGAGGAGAAGGAUGGGUGAGCAUGUGACGUUGGGAAAUUGUAUUUUCUUCUUCGAGUUCUUCUGUUUCCGAAUAUUUAAUCCUACUGUUUUCUUCUUUAGUGAAGGUCUCUUUAGUCAAUAAUCUCUUUGCUGAAAUUGCUUCGGGCAGCACAGAAGCUGGAUUCAGAAGCACACAGGUCUGGGGAUGCAGGCUUCGGCCAGCCUGAUGCAAGGAAAGACUGCCAUCUCGUGGUCAGCUCAAUCCUGGCACCUUGGUGAGGGACCAGGCUGCAGAAAACCAGGCUUGGGGAGGAAACGGUGCUGCAAACUGGAUUUCUGCCGGACAGUGUGGAUGCCCUUAGAAAACACCCAGAAAAGAGCUGAGUGCCCCCCAAGACUUGCCCUGAAUUCUUUCAUGUGCAAUAUCCGAAAACCCUCUCUUGGGGCCUGGAUCAGGACCCCUUUCCUAUAACAUCUUUCUGGCGACAACAAAGGGACAAUGGUGUGGAAUCCCCCUUCCCAAAUGCUACUUUUAGGCUGUUUCCCAUAUAAGGUUCAUGACCCCCAGUGAGGAUGAAACUGCCUGCAAGGUUUGUCUUCUCUCCUGUUCACUGGUUACUCAGCCAGGCUGAUUCAUGGGCUUCUCAAAGGAGCUUGUUUAUCAGAAGCUUGUCUAAGACACCACGUCUUCCAGAAAAUCUCACCUGAGUCACCAACAGAUUCCUCUAAGAGUCUGUAAGCCACUCCUGACCAGCAGGAAACCCCAACAGAGGCAAAGAAUAGGAAAUUAAAUAUUUCGUCAAGAAAAAAUGAGAGGCUGGGUGCGGUGGCUCAUGCCUAUAUCCCAGCACUUUAGGAGGCCUAAGCGGGCGGAUCAUUUGAGGUCAGGAGUUUGAGACCAGCCCGGCCAACAUGGUGAAACCCUGUCUCUACUAAAA